rnacentral:rRNA from 1 species
UAGCUAGAGUAUNUCAGAGGGGGGUAGAAUUCCACGUGUAGCAGUGAAAUGCGUAGAGAUGUGGAGGAAUACCGAUGGCGAAGGCAGCCUCCUGGGAUAAUACUGACGUUCAUGCCCGAAAGCGUGGGUAGCAAACAGGAUUAGAUACCCUGGUAGUCCACGCCCUAAACGAUGUCGAUUAGCUGUUGGGCAACUUGAUUGCUUAGUAGCGAAGCUAACGCGUGAAAUCGACCGCCUGGGGAGUACGGUCGCAAGAUUAAAACUCAAAGGAAUUGACGGGGACCCGCACAAGCGGUGGAUGAUGUGGAUUAAUUCGAUGCAACGCGAAGAACCUUACCUGGUCUUGACAUGUACGGAACCUUCCAGAGACGGAAGGGUGCCUUCGGGAGCCGUAACACAGGUGCUGCAUGGCUGUCGUCAGCUCGUGUCGUGAGAUGUUGGGUUAAGUCCCGCAACGAGCGCAACCCUUGUCAUUAGUUGCCAUCAUUAAGUUGGGCACUCUAAUGAGACUGCCGGUGACAAACCGGAGGAAGGUGGGGAUGACGUCAAGUCCUCAUGGCCCUUAUGACCAGGGCUUCACACGUCAUACAAUGGUCGGUACAGAGGGUAGCCAAGCCGCGAGGCGGAGCCAAUCCCAGAAAACCGAUCGUAGUCCGGAUUGCACUCUGCAACUCGAGUGCAUGAAGUCGGAAUCGCUAGUAAUCGCAGGUCAGCAUACUGCGGUGAAUACGUUCCCGGGUCUUGUACACACCGCCCGUCACACCAUGGGAGUGGGGGAUACCAGAAGCA